rnacentral:rRNA from 1 species
AUGAACGCUGGCGGCGUGCCUAAUACAUGCAAGUCGAGCGAACAGACGAGGAGCUUGCUCCUCUGACGUUAGCGGCGGACGGGUGAGUAACACGUGGAUAACCUACCUAUAAGACUGGGAUAACUUCGGGAAACCGGAGCUAAUACCGGAUAAUAUAUUGAACCGCAUGGUUCAAUAGUGAAAGACGGUUUUGCUGUCACUUAUAGCUGGAUCCGCGCCGCAUUAGCUAGUUGGUAAGGUAACGGCUUACCAAGGCGACGAUGCGUAGCCGACCUGAGAGGGUGAUCGGCCACACUGGAACUGAGACACGGUCCAGACUCCUACGGGAGGCAGCAGUAGCGAAUCUUCCGCAAUGGGCGAAAGCCUGACGGAGCAACGCCGCGUGAGUGAUGAAGGUCUUCGGAUCGUAAAACUCUGUUAUUAGGGAAGAACAAAUGUGUAAGUAACUAUGCACGUCUUGACGGUACCUAAUCAGAAAGCCACGGCUAACUACGUG